rnacentral:lncRNA from 10 species
UGGCAUUUUAUUAAAAUAAAUUGUAUUGUAUCAUAUUUGUAUGUUUUAAGAGAAAAUAAUAUAAAAUACAAUAUUUGUACUAUUAUAUAGUGCAAAAACUACAAAUCUGUGCCUCUGCCUCUUGAAUUAAUUCUUUGGUUGCUUGCAUUUGGGAAGGGAAUGGAGAAAGGAAAGAACCAAUAAAGCUUUCAAAGUUCAAGAAAUUCUCCUGUUUGGUCUGCUGCCUUACAACUUAGGUUACUGACAGUUGAAAAGUUCUUUGGUUUUUGGAACUUGUGGAAUUUUUUUGUUGAAUUCACAGAUGCAGAUCCACAUAUACAGAAGGCUGACUGUACUUUUUUUUUUUGAGAUGGAGUCUCGCUGUGGGCUGACUGUACUCUUAAAAACAACGAGACUUAAACCAAUAAGUAUAAACACUGUCUAUUGCCUGCUUCAUAAAUCUGUGGUUAAAUAAGAGUACAAUGAAAUUAUUUAUGAUUUUAAUUGAUAUUCAUAUUUUAUUAAAAAUAAAAUUGCCAUUUAUUUCCAAUAUUCCAACAAUCUAAAUCAAAUAAACAGCAAUAUGGAGUAGUCCUUAAAUGUAAGUCCUCUACACAAAAUGAAACCUCCAUUUGAGUUUGAUGCACAGAAUGGGGUUGUGGUAUAACAACUCCAAAUUUUAAGAUAUCUGCAAAUGUCUUAGAGAGACCGGGCCCCCUGCUAGUUGUUUAAGUUUAGUGGUGGUGGUAGUGGUGGUGGGGUGUGUGUGUGUUUGUUUGUGUGUGUUAGGUCCUAUUAAAUUUUUAAAUGAAAAAUUUAGGACAUAAGAAAUAGGAGGGCCGGGCACGGUGGCUCACAACUGUAAUCUCAGCACUUUGGGAGGCCGAGGUGGGCGGAUCACAAGGUCAGGAGAUCGAGACCAUCCUGGCUAACACGGUGAAACCCUGUCUCUACUAAAAAUACAGAAAAAAUUAGCUGGGCAUGGUAGUGGGCGCCUGUAGUCGCAGCUACUCGGGAGGCUGAGGCAGGAGAAUGGCAUGAACCUGGGAGGUGGAGGUUGCAGUGAGCCAAGAUCGCGCCACUGUACUCCAGCCUGGGCGACAGAGCGAGACUCCAUCUCAAUAAAAAA